UACAGAGGUCUCAAGCGUUGUUCGGAUUCAUUGGGCGUAAAGGGUGUGUAGGUGGCGCCGUAAGUCGGGUGUGAAAUUUCGGAGCUUAACUCCGAAACUGCAUUCGAUACUGCGGUGCUUGAGGACUGGAGAGGAGACUGGAAUUCAUGGUGUAGCAGUGAAAUGCGUAGAGAUCGGGAGGAAUACCAGUGGCGAAGGCGGCCUUCUGGACUGACACUGACGCUGAGGCGCGAAAGCCAGGGGGAGCAAACGGG
rnacentral:rRNA from 1 species